ensembl:ncRNA Y39G8C.6 ncRNA
UUUCUAGGCCACCAAUUUCGGGAUUUUUGGUGGCCUAGAAAUUCAAAUUUGGAAUUUUCUAGAUCACCAGUUUCGAAAUCUCAGGUGGCCUAGA